rnacentral:rRNA from 1 species
AUUUCUAGAGAUAGAAAGUUACUUCGGUACAUCGGUGACAGGUGGUGCAUGGUUGUCGUCAGCUCGUGUCGUGGGAUGUUGGGUUAAGUCCCGCAACGAGCGCAACCCCUAUUGUUAGUUGCCAUCAUUCAGUUGGGCACUCUAGCGAGACUGCCGGUAAUAAACCGGAGGAAGGUGGGGAUGACGUCAAAUCAUCAUGCCCCUUAUGACCUGGGCUACACACGUGCUACAAUGGUUGGUACAACGAGUUGCGAGUCGGUGACGGCGAGCUAAUCUCUUAAAGCCAAUCUCAGUUCGGAUUGUAGGCUGCAACUCGCCUACAUGAAGUCGGAAUCGCUAGUAAUCGCGGAUCAGCACGCCGCGGUCGAAUACGUUCCCGGGCCUU